rnacentral:rRNA from 1 species
UUAAGUUAUUAAGGGCGCACGGUGGAUGCCUUGGCACUAGAAGCCGAUGAAGGACGUUACUAACGACGAUAUGCUUUGGGGAGCUGUAAGUAAGCUUUGAUCCAGAGAUUUCCGAAUGGGGAAACCCAGCAUGAGUUAUGUCAUGUUAUCGAUAUGUGAAUACAUAGCAUAUCAGAAGGCACACCCGGAGAACUGAAACAUCUUAGUACCCGGAGGAAGAGAAAGAAAAUUCGAUUCCCUUAGUAGCGGCGAGCGAAACGGGAAGAGCCCAAACCAACAAGCUUGCUUGUUGGGGUUGUAGGACACUCUAUACGGAGUUACAAAGGACGACAUUAGACGAAUCAUCUGGAAAGAUGAAUCAAAGAAGGUAAUAAUCCUGUAGUCGAAAAUGUUGUCUCUCUUGAGUGGAUCCUGAGUACGACGGAGCACGUGAAAUUCCGUCGGAAUCUGGGAGGACCAUCUCCUAAGGCUAAAUACUCUCUAGUGACCGAUAGUGAACCAGUACCGUGAGGGAAAGGUGAAAAGCACCCCGGAAGGGGAGUGAAAUAGAACCUGAAACCGUGUGCUUACAAGUAGUCAGAGCCCGUUAAUGGGUGAUGGCGUGCCUUUUGUAGAAUGAACCGGCGAGUUACGAUUUGAUGCAAGGUUAAGCAGUAAAUGUGGAGCCGUAGCGAAAGCGAGUCUGAAUAGGGCGUUUAGUAUUUGGUCGUAGACCCGAAACCAGGUGAUCUACCCUUGGUCAGGUUGAAGUUCAGGUAACACUGAAUGGAGGACCGAACCGACUUACGUUGAAAAGUGAGCGGAUGAACUGAGGGUAGCGGAGAAAUUCCAAUCGAACCUGGAGAUAGCUGGUUCUCUCCGAAAUAGCUUUAGGGCUAGCCUCAAGUGAUGAUUAUUGGAGGUAGAGCACUGUUUGGACGAGGGGCUCCUCUCGGGUUACCGAAUUCAGACAAACUCCGAAUGCCAAUUAAUUUAACUUGGGAGUCAGAACAUGGGUGAUAAGGUCCGUGUUCGAAAGGGAAACAGCCCAGACCACCAGCUAAGGUCCCAAAAUAUAUGUUAAGUGGAAAAGGAUGUGGCGUUGCCCAGACAACUAGGAUGUUGGCUUAGAAGCAGCCAUCAUUUAAAGAGUGCGUAAUAGCUCACUAGUCGAGUGACACUGCGCCGAAAAUGUACCGGGGCUAAACAUAUUACCGAAGCUGUGGAUUGUCCUUUGGACAAUGGUAGGAGAGCGUUCUAAGGGCGUUGAAGCAUGAUCGUAAGGACAUGUGGAGCGCUUAGAAGUGAGAAUGCCGGUGUGAGUAGCGAAAGACGGGUGAGAAUCCCGUCCACCGAUUGACUAAGGUUUCCAGAGGAAGGCUCGUCCGCUCUGGGUUAGUCGGGUCCUAAGCUGAGGCCGACAGGCGUAGGCGAUGGAUAACAGGUUGAUAUUCCUGUACCACCUAUAAUCGUUUUAAUCGAUGGGGGGACGCAGUAGGAUAGGCGAAGCGUGCGAUUGGAUUGCACGUCUAAGCAGUAAGGCUGAGUAUUAGGCAAAUCCGGUACUCGUUAAGGCUGAGCUGUGAUGGGGAGAAGACAUUGUGUCUUCGAGUCGUUGAUUUCACACUGCCGAGAAAAGCCUCUAGAUAGAAAAUAGGUGCCCGUACCGCAAACCGACACAGGUAGUCAAGAUGAGAAUUCUAAGGUGAGCGAGCGAACUCUCGUUAAGGAACUCGGCAAAAUGACCCCGUAACUUCGGGAGAAGGGGUGCUCUUUAGGGUUAACGCCCAGAAGAGCCGCAGUGAAUAGGCCCAAGCGACUGUUUAUCAAAACACAGGUCUCUGCUAAACCGUAAGGUGAUGUAUAGGGGCUGACGCCUGCCCGGUGCUGGAAGGUUAAGAGGAGUGGUUAGCUUCUGCGAAGCUACGAAUCGAAGCCCCAGUAAACGGCGGCCGUAACUAUAACGGUCCUAAGGUAGCGAAAUUCCUUGUCGGGUAAGUUCCGACCCGCACGAAAGGCGUAACGAUUUGGGCACUGUCUCAACGAGAGACUCGGUGAAAUCAUAGUACCUGUGAAGAUGCAGGUUACCCGCGACAGGACGGAAAGACCCCGUGGAGCUUUACUGUAGCCUGAUAUUGAAAUUCGGCACAGCUUGUACAGGAUAGGUAGGAGCCUUUGAAACGUGAGCGCUAGCUUACGUGGAGGCGCUGGUGGGAUACUACCCUAGCUGUGUUGGCUUUCUAACCCGCACCACUCAUCGUGGUGGGAGACAGUGUCAGGCGGGCAGUUUGACUGGGGCGGUCGCCUCCUAAAAGGUAACGGAGGCGCUCAAAGGUUCCCUCAGAAUGGUUGGAAAUCAUUCAUAGAGUGUAAAGGCAUAAGGGAGCUUGACUGCGAGACCUACAAGUCGAGCAGGGGUCGAAAGACGGACUUAGUGAUCCGGUGGUUCCGCAUGGAAGGGCCAUCGCUCAACGGAUAAAAGCUACCCCGGGAUAACAGGCUUAUCUCCCCCAAGAGUUCACAUCGACGGGGAGGUUUGGCACCUCGAUGUCGGCUCAUCGCAUCCUGGGGCUGUAGUCGGUCCCAAGGGUUGGGCUGUUCGCCCAUUAAAGCGGUACGCGAGCUGGGUUCAGAACGUCGUGAGACAGUUCGGUCCCUAUCCGUCGUGGGCGUAGGAAAUUUGAGAGGAGCUGUCCUUAGUACGAGAGGACCGGGAUGGACAUACCUCUGGUGUACCAGUUGUCGUGCCAACGGCAUAGCUGGGUAGCUAUGUGUGGACGGGAUAAGUGCUGAAAGCAUCUAAGCAUGAAGCCCCCCUCAAGAUGAGAUUUCCCAACUUCGGUUAUAAGAUCCCUCAAAGAUGAUGAGGUUAAUAGGUUCGAGGUGGAAGCAUGGUGACAUGUGGAGCUGACGAAUACUAAUCGAUCGAAGACUUAAUCAA